UUCACACUUGAAAUCUGAAUUUUUAUACUUUUAAUUUGUGUAUAAAUAAGUAACUAAGUUUAUAGAAUUAUAAGUGAGAAAUAUAAGAGAAAAACACUAGAAAGAAAGAGAAGAUGUGAUUGAGAGCUUAACAAUAUAUAUAAGCUUUUUGCCUAUAAAAUAAAACAAUAUGUUUUAUCUCUGAGUGUUUCAAAACUACCACCAAUAACCUCUCCACCGACACCUUUUAGCCGUAAGCUUCUCUACGAGCUACCCACAAAUAUCAAACACCACUAUUUCUCAACCCAGCACAAUUUCAUCCAUUUGCUUGCUGGAAAUUGAAAGGAAACAUCCUAAUAACAAUACAAAACAGAGUGUGUAGGUUGGGAAUCUAGCCAUUGGAAAUAGUAGGUGAUAUCAGAACCUGUAGUGACGGGAUAGUUGUCCUUAAGUUCAAACAAGGUAUGGCAGGACCAACAGAAUAGAUUGGUAAAUCUAAUUUUUCUUUUAGUGUGUCGAAAACUUGGGAUUCAAGCCCAUAGACAGAGUUGAUUAGAAGAAACUGUGCUCUUGACACCCAUGAAAUGCUUUCCAACUUGAGCUGCAUCUUGCCUCAUGUCCACGGAAGAUUGUUCGAAGGUCAGCUACAUGCUUUGAAGAAAUUCCCAGGAUGUGGUUUUUUAUGCGAGCAAAUUGUUGGAGCAUUGAAAAUACAGUUGCUGACACCGUGCAUGGUGUUGCCAGCGGGAUAUUCCUCUUGUUUGCCAUGGUAAUUGCCCACCGUAGCUCAACAUCAGCUAUUCAGCUAUGAUAGUAGUCACUAGCAGAUCAAUUUUAUCAGGUAGCUGUUCCAAGGGACCUUCCAUCUUCGUCAUCACAGCCUCGUAGAAUCCGCUCCUCGGACAAGUUCAGAUGGGAUAACAUUCGGUAUCGAGGCAAAUUGUAUGGUGCUAUUUUUAGUAUUAAUUAGAGCCAAUGAGUCCAAGCCACUCUCCAGUAACAAAAAAAAGUUAUGAGAAUAUCCCGUUUCUUUGAAGACAGUAAUUAACUUGCAGAGAUUCAUCAUGGGGUUGACGUGGCCUCUACCAGGAUAGGGUACAGCCAUCACAUGACAGCUGGUUGUUGAUUGCUGGUCGACGGCGUCAAUGUUAGAGUCCUACUGUGUAUCUCGAAUGAUUUGUACGAAACGUGUGUCCGUUGAUAAUUUGUAUUAGAUCUGGAACAGUCAAAUCAAGCAAGACCAGGACUUGCAUAUGGUGAAAAAAAAAAAAAAAGAGAUUUGGAAGAUGAAAGCAUCACGACUCUAGUUGAUUAUGACACUUCUGUUUUAUCUGUAUGCUGCCAGCAUAGUUGAGGAAAUGUGACCCGUGAAUGCUGACAGCCUUUGGAUCCAUGCUAGCUCUUUCCAAAUAAAAAUGCGCGAAUUACUUGCAGAAGUCUUUGAUAGGGUUAUUGUGAGGCUAGAACAAAGCUGUUGCAUACUCUUGUCCUUCUCUUGUUGGAUUCAUGCACCAAGAAACGAGCAUCUCCAGAUUCAUGCUAUGGAUUUAUGUACAAAGAGAGGAGAUUUGGAUUAUGAAAAUGUAACCAGUCACUACUUGGCAAUUCGUAAAUACAGGUGGUCACAAAUUCAACUUGAAUUUGUGAAUAUAUUGCCUUCGUCCAUCAAUGAUGUUGCAGAGGACGGGGCUCAUUUUGUAUUUAUCAACAACCACUCUAGAAAUCACUGUAUAUACUGAUAAAAAAAUUUAUGAUUUUAAAUAAGUUGAAGUUAUUGCA